rnacentral:miRNA from 1 species
UUGGCCAAAAAGUUCAUUCGGGUUUUCCCAUACCAUCUUAGGAAAAACCCAAAUGAAAUUUUUGGCUAA